rnacentral:rRNA from 1 species
UACGAAGGGGGCUAGCGUUGUUCGGAAUUACUGGGCGUAAAGCGCACGUAGGCGGGUUGUUAAGUCAGGGGUGAAAUCCCGGAGCUCAACUCCGGAACUGCCUUUGAUACUGGCAAUCUAGAGACUGGAAGAGGUUAGUGGAAUUCCGAGUGUAGAGGUGAAAUUCGUAGAUAUUCGGAGGAACACCAGUGGCGAAGGCGGCUCACUGGUCCGGUACUGACGCUGAGGUGCGAAAGCGUGGGGAGCAAACAGG